rnacentral:rRNA from 1 species
GAAGGAGGAGCUUGCUUCUCUGGAUGAGUUGCGAACGGGUGAGUAACGCGUAGGUAACCUGCCUGGUAGCGGGGGAUAACUAUUGGAAACGAUAGCUAAUACCGCAUAACAGUAGAUAUCGCAUGAUAUCUGCUUGAAAGGUGCAAUUGCAUCACUACCAGAUGGACCUGCGUUGUAUUAGCUAGUUGGUGGGGUAACGGCUCACCAAGGCGACGAUACAUAGCCGACCUGAGAGGGUGAUCGGCCACACUGGGACUGAGACACGGCCCAGACUCCUACGGGAGGCAGCAGUAGGGAAUCUUCGGCAAUGGACGGAAGUCUGACCGAGCAACGCCGCGUGAGUGAAGAAGGUUUUCGGAUCGUAAAGCUCUGUUGUAAGAGAAGAACGAGUGUGAGAGUGGAAAGUUCACACUGUGACGGUAUCUUACCAGAAAGGGACGGCUAACUACGUGCCAGCAGCCGCGGUAAUACGUAGGUCCCGAGCGUUGUCCGGAUUUAUUGGGCGUAAAGCGAGCGCAGGCGGUUAGAUAAGUCUGAAGUUAAAGGCUGUGGCUUAACCAUAGUACGCUUUGGAAACUGUUUAACUUGAGUGCAAGAGGGGAGAGUGGAAUUCCAUGUGUAGCGGUGAAAUGCGUAGAUAUAUGGAGGAACACCAGUGGCGAAAGCGGCUCUCUGGCUUGUAACUGACGCUGAGGCUCGAAAGCGUGGGGAGCAAACAGGAUUAGAUAUCCUGGUAGUCCACGCCGUAAACGAUGAGUGCUAGGUGUUAGACCCUUUCCGGGUUUA